rnacentral:rRNA from 1 species
ACUCAAAUGAAUUGACGGGGGCCCGCACAAGCGGAGGAACAUGUGGUUUAAUUCGAUGAUACGCGAGGAACCUUACCUGGGUUUGAACGUAAGUUGACCGUCCGAGAAAUCGGAUUUCCCUUCGGGGCAAUUUACGAGGUGCUGCAUGGUUGUCGUCAGCUCGUGCCGUGAGGUGUCGGAUUAAGUUCCAUAACGAGCGCAACCCUUAUCAUUAGUUGCCAACGGGUCAUGCCGGGGACUCUAAUGAAACUGCCGGUGUAAACCGUGAGGAAGGUGGGGAUGACGUCAAAUCAGCACGGCCCUUACAUCCAGGGCUACACACGUGUUACAAUGGCCAUUACAGCGGGCAGCUACUUCGCGAGAAGAUGCUAAUCUCGAAAGAUGGUCUCAGUUCGGAUUGUAGUCUGCAACUCGACUACAUGAAGCUGGAUUCGCUAGUAAUCGCGCAUCAGCCAUGGCGCGGUGAAUACGUUCCCGGGCCUUGUACACACCGCCCGU